GGCCUGGGCCGUGACUGGCGUGCACGAGGGUGGAAGCGACCACCGGGGAGCGGCCCGGGGCGCAGCCACGACACCGAACGCCUGGGUGUCCCGC
rnacentral:ncRNA from 1 species